AUGUCUAGCUCGACUUCAGCCACCCGCCAAUCAUGGACGCAGUACGGUCCACUACCAUUGACAAGAUGCCCCGAUUGCCCACGCAUGGAGCCUCUCAAGCGUUUGACUUGUGUGAGGGAAGAAAAUGGCAACCGUGGGCGCGAGUUUGUGAAAUGUUUGAGCAAGCCACAGCCGGGGCAGGUUCUGAAGAAAUGUGGGCAUUUUGAGUGGCUCGAUGAAUAUGUUGAAAGGUUGAAAUUGGAGGGAUCAACCCCAACCCAAGAGCUCAAUUUUGGGGGGCGGCUUGCCGUGGAACAAGCCCCCAAUUUGGCGGACAGAGCCGAUCCGAUGAUGCACAGUGCAGAACUGAAGUGUGAAUUGAAGAAAAUCGGCAAGCAACUAAAGCAUCUGAUCAAUUUGAAGCAGCAAGCAAAUAUGAUGGCGGGAGCAUUUUAUGGUUGUGUCAUUGCUAUGUGUUUAUUUUACUUGAUGUUC
rnacentral:rRNA from 1 species